UCUUUUCAUGCCUUGUGUUGUUGAUUAGCUCAUAGGCGGAGCUUUGCAACUUCUUCACAUGUACACAACUGUCCCAAAUUGGGUACACUCCUACAAACAAAACAGCAUUCUACCUGGGUUUAAUCGGAUUUAUUUGGCGGUGCUCCGGUGCCGUUUUGAGCUUGACUCACACAUAACAGUGGUACGCUAACAGCCACGGUCUCGGAAAUGUUGGCUGAAAAACUACUAUCCAUGACAGCUGAAAAAGUAUAUCGAAUUGUCAUUUUCAACGUGCACACAUAUAUAAGCACUACAACUAAACAAGCUUCUCUCCGUACUUUCUCCUUACAUUACAUAUGAUUCUCGUCCAUCGAUGCUAGUUGCCUAUAUCAACUGCCAGUUUGCUCAUAAGCUUUGCAGACUUUAGCUACAAAAGCCAUUAUUCCCAAAAGCUUGGCACUCUGAUUGUCUCAUCCUGGCCUGAAAAGAAGCCCUCAACAUCUAUGCUCCUCAGCGAGGGAACUAACAAGCAAAAAUUCGAACCACCCACUCAUAGGAAGAAACAGAAAGCAGUCUCUGUGUGCGCGAGCUCCUUCAGAGAAUUGCGCGGUGGUGACCGACGGAAAUAAGUUGUGUUGCUGUCGCCGAAGGAAGAAAUUACAAACAUGGCGAUACCACUAAGGGCAAUGGGAGAGUUAUUGAAGUACUGAUUUAACAGCUGGAAGCUCCUAGAAAAGCUCUUACUCACUCUUGUUGUCCUGAUUCAGCUUCUAAUUACCAGCUCUCAACUUAGCUAUUUCUAGUUAUUUCUUCGUGACUUACCCUGACAUUGACUAUCGCAAGCUAACAUACCUCUCUGCUGCAGAUGUAAGUACGGAAAAACUUGUUAGAGUUGCUGUCCUCAGCACGGCCUCUACAAGUGCCUCAUCCAUGAUGCGGCAAUACUCGAUGAAAAGGCGUAAUUGCGCAUUUCAUUGGCACUAGAUUGUCAAACUGAUUACAAUAGUUCCUAUGUGGCAUUGUAAUGGAAGAGACUUUGAAUUUGACGUAAGUGAAGGAGUUCGUGACACACUGCAACAGGAGGAGAAGAUUGAGUUCUACGGAGGAACGACAAAAGAACCAAAGGUUCUUGCAGACGUUAUGGAGUCUAUAAUGGGGGCUGCAUAUUUGGAUUGUGGCUUUGAUGUGAAUGAUGUCUGGGUGGUCAGUUUCUUUUUUACUAUUUAAGUUUGUUCUGGCAAAUGCUCUUAUGAAAACACUAUUUUCCUUAUCCUUUCUGGAUAUAGAGUACCAAUAUAUCAAUCAACUAUGCCUUAGUCCCAAUUAGUUAGGUUGGCUAUACGAAUUCUCUAUAUCUAUUCCUCUGGAUUUCUAUUAUAACUUGAAAAUGUUAUUAUGUGGAAUCAAAGAGUUGAAUCUCGCAGGCCUAUUGGCUUUGAGUAAGUGCUUCUAAUUUACAGCCUCAACCUUAGUGUACAAGGGGUUUUAACUGUUAUUUAUCGAACCUUUUUUCAUUUAAAGCUAGUUAUGCUUGUAUACUUUGCAUCAAAACUCAAGUCAUAACUGGUUGGUGACUUUCGCUGCAAUCUAAGUGAUGUCUGAGUAGUCAUUAUGUAUGCUUGUUGAUUUGUAGAGGCAAAACUUUUUUCCUCUGGUAAUGUUUUUAACAUGAUAUUCUCUAAUUGUUGAAUGAAAUGAUUAAAAGGUAUUCCUAAAACAAAAUUUUCACUGUGAUUUUUUUGGUAAUUUAUUGAAAGUUCUCUUGAAAUUAAAUUUUGUGCUUGUCCUAAGAAUGUCACUUUUAAGCACAUGUAAUUUUUGCUAGCUUUUCUGGCACAAGCUUAUCUAUGUAAUAGAGUCCAUGUUGGACAUUGCACAAUUUUAAUUUUGACACUUCAGAUUAGUGCUUCCACAUAUAAUAUUUUACCUUGUAGAAAAAAGUAAUGCACGUGUGUGAGUGAGAGGUCGCUGUUUGAAAUUUGAAUUUGUUUUACAUGAAGAAUAAUCUCAUAUUUGGGUCGUCUCAUUAAAAAUAAAUUUGGGAAGGGAAGAAUGAUAGAAGUCCAGAAUCUCAUCAUCGUAGAGAGCUAUUUUAACUGAAACAAUCAUCUUGGUUCUGAUAAAACAUACAAGCACCUAUUAAUAGUAAUUUUUAUGCUGGGUUAAGGCACAAAAACAACUAAGUUGAGAUUAAAUUUAAAUGACAUAAUAUUUCUCCUCUUAGUGGCAAUAAUUCUCUGUCGGGGUUAAUAUCUCCUCGAAAAGUAGGCUACAUUUGCUUCAUUUACAUACACCAACUACAAAAAAGCACAUCGAGAUUCUAUUUUGGACAUUCCUUGUAUAUUUGAUUCCAACUUUUAUCCAAAUCAUUUUAUUCCCUUUUUUCCAUCUUAGAUAAAGCAACCAAACAUAUACAAUGAAAUGACAUAAAUUGAUUAGUUUCAAUUAUUGAUUAAAAAACUUUGCAAUGAGUUGAGUAUAAAUUUACAACGAGGGACGUGACCUUCAACCUAUGGGCCAGUGUAGGAAUAGCUCCCACACCCUUCCCAGCCUGAAGUUUCACAAACCUCUUUUAUCAUCCUAAGACUCUAAAAGAUAUGGAAAAAAAACUAGGACUUAUGAAAAUAUUUUUGAAUUUUAACCAUCUGAGUUCCUCCGUAACACCAAUUGAAACUUUGUUGUAAAAGGUCACUCAAAUUCUUUCUUUUAUUCCAAUCUUUUAAUGGUGCGGUGUGAAGCAUAGGUUAUUCAUUAUUACUUGAGAAAUGUGUGGAGUGGUCCUUUAGCUUCACAUGCAUCUGAGAGAAGAGGUAAACUCUAGAUUACAAUGGAACACUACUCAAAGUACCUGUAGGAGUGCAACGAUAGUAACAAAUGAGUGUCACAACAAGGCGGUCAAAUUCGGGUGAAGUUCCUUCUUCUAGAAAAGGGGAAAGCAAAGGUCGUAAGUAUAUUUUAGGUAAAUCUUAUUCUAUUUAACAGAAUAACAAAAUGAUACUCAAUCCAAAAUGUUUAAGUAAACAUCAUAAGUGAGAAGAAUAAAAACCUUGAAAAUCUAUAGAAGAGCGUUUUCACGAUGAUUAGGAUUGCAGAGAACAAACUCAAGUUGUUCAGCAUAUUGCAUUUUGUGAUCCUUAUUGGGUGGUGCUCCGGCGCUGAAAGAAAAUGAUGACAUACCACCUCCUCCUUUGAAGCUGUUGACACCAAUGGAGAAAGAUUGAGGGAAAAAGAAAAAGGAGAGAAACUAAAGUUGGGAAAGUGAAAGGACAAAAAAGAUAAUAACAUUCAAUUGAGGCUUUAGAAUGACAAACUUACCUCGAUCUUUCUCCGUCGGUGUUGGCAGCUUCGGAGGAGAAGGUGGUAUGUCGUCAUUGUCUUGCAGUGCCGGAGCACCCCUGAAUAAGGAUCACAAAAUGUGAUAUGUUGAACAAUUUGUGUUUGUUCUCUAUGACCCUAAUAUUCGUGAAAACGCUCUUCUAAAGCUUUUCAAGCUUAUUCUUCUUACUUUGACAUUUUAGAUUGAGUAUUAUUUUGUUGU